UACGAAGGGGGCUAGCGUUGUUCGGAAUUACUGGGCGUAAAGCGCGCGCAGGCGGCUCUUCAAGUCAGAGGUGAAAGCCCAGAGCUCAACUCUGGAAUGGCCUUUGAGACUAGAGAACUAGGGUACGGGAGAGGUGAGUGGAAUUCCGAGUGUAGAGGUGAAAUUCGUAGAUAUUCGGAAGAACACCAGUGGCGAAGGCGGCUCACUGGCCCGUUACCGACGCUCAGGCGCGACAGCGUGGGGAGCAAACAGG
rnacentral:rRNA from 1 species